rnacentral:rRNA from 1 species
UAAUACGGAGGGUGCGAGCGUUGUCCGGAAUCACUGGGCGUAAAGGGCGCGUAGGUGGCUUAGAAAGCGUGUGGUGAAAGCCCGGGGCUUAACCCCGGGUCUGCCGUGCGAACUACUAUGGCUAGAGGACUGUAGAGGCAAGUUGAAUUCCGGGUGUAGCGGUGGAAUGCGUAGAGAUCCGGAAGAAUACCGGUGGCGAAGGCGGCUUGCUGGGCAGUUUCUGACACUGAGGCGCGACAGCGUGGGGAGCAAACAGGAUUAGAUACCCUGGUAGUCCACGCCGUAAACGAUGGGCACUAGGUGCUUGGGGGAGCGACCCUCUGAGUGCCGUCGCUAACGCAGUAAGUGCCCCGCCUGGGGAGUACGGCCGCAAGGCUG